ACUGGCUGUGGCAAUAUUCAAUUACUAGUUAUGGUCAGUCAAACCUUUACAUUUCAGUGGGAGUUUUGCAUUAAUCAGGAAUAAAGGAUCUGAAAGAUAGACUGUCACUUCUGCAGAUCCACUCUACUUCUUGCCUACGGAGACUUGAGGGAACAAAUCUUCAAAUGGAGACCAGAGUUGUAGGGAAUUUCCAUACCUGGAGAUCUUCAACACUCAGAAAAGUACCUGAGCAACCUGAUCUCACCUGUGUUGAGCUGUGUAUCUUGGACUGGAAGACCUCCACUUUGGUGUCCCUCCCAAAAUAAAAUUAAUUUAUUUAUAUCCAUGGCUGAAAACACUAUGUAUUCCUCAAAGAAAAGCAGAUUUGUUAAGAAAAAGUUUCUAAAGCUGAAGUUACAGGUAACAUCCAACAGCUCCCAGCCACCAAGAAUGGUCAUAAGCAACAUGUUAGCCCUGGACACACAUGAAAAAAAUGCAUCAGAAUUUAAGUACUGAAAGGAUUGUUCUUGGACUAGCAUGGAGGAUGUCUCUCUAUCAGCAACCAUCCUGGAUGUUUUAAGAAAUCCUGCUUCUGUGAUUGUGCUGGAGCCUGAGGUGAUCACAUUUGGGCAGGACAGUUGGAGCUGCCCUUGCCAACAAAAGGAAAAGCUGGCUCAGGGCUACCCGCAGAUGUGGUUGAUCUCUGUGGGACUGCUCCAAGCCAGGCUGCAGUUUUCUUUUCCCACAGUGAUACUGAAAUCCUGAGCAGAGGUGAACAAUGCUGAGUGGCUGGAGAGGGAAAGAUGUUGGCUCAUGAAGUCGAGGAAAAGACUUGGAAACGUUUGACAAUUUUGAUAUGAGCAUCCUGACAGCUACAAACAAUCAAAAAACUUGCCAUCUACCUCUGUUUCUUCACUUUGAGGGUUAUACUGAAAAAGAUAUGUCUUCUUUGGGAACUGACCAACAUUUUUCACAGGGAUGGGGAAAGUGCAAGGUGGAGGGAAGGCUCGUAUGAACACCACCAGCCAAACUGCAAAAAGUGUCCAAAGAAAGAAGCCAAAGAGACAGGGUUGGAAGCUUCCUUCAAACCAUUCUUUCUCCCACUCCUCGCCCUUAGCUUGGAAGACCCUGAGUAAACAGGAGCAGGACCCUGAGGUGUGCCAUGCCUGCCAGCAAACCUUGGCUGUGCCAUCCUGUGGCAGGAUGGCAGGGUUGAGACCAUCCUGCGGCCUCUCUUGAAGUUUCUGUGUUCAGGCAGAAACAAGGAUGGGUUCAGCUGUUACCACAGCUAGUUUAAAUGACUUUUUCUCAGGGGGGUGGUUGUACAGUAUCACGCGGUCCCAGAAACCCAAAGCUGAAAGGCACCUGUGUGACAGCAGUGUUGCACCCAAGCUUUUUUUUUUUUUUUUUCCUUUUUGUUUUUCUGCUUCCUAGGCACAUAUUUCCUUUGUGCCUUUGCCAGCAUACACACUCAGAAAUGCUCUCCCCAGCAGCGAUGGGAUCUCUGCUUUAUUCAGCAUGUAAGAUUCGGCCUUGCUGGCUUGCUGGUGAGAAAUUAUUCUGGUUUCUACACUACCUUGUUGGACCCAGGACUGCUGUACAGAGCUUCAUGUGCUCUUCACUGCCUCUAGUCUGGUGACCCUUUCUGUGGGUCAGUCUCAGUUCAGUUCGCUUUUUCAGCUUUCAAUUUUGCCUUUUUUCUGUUGUUUCCUGACAUGACAGAUCAUCUUUAGAUGUUCGUCCCAUACUGUGGAGCUGAUGCCACACCACUAGAGAU